UCUCCAUCCUCCCCAACAACCUCCCAGGCUACCAGCUGCAAUGCAGACAGAAGCACAGAAGCUGCAGUCAGCCCCUUUCUGUGAAUAAAAGAAUUGGAGAGGACUGACUAACUGAAUCGAACAGCAGAGGGAGACAAAGAUCUGCUGCGGAUGUCUGACAGCCUGCUCCUAGAGGCGGCCACCUGCGGGGCUAAACAAUGGCCCGCUACACUGACAGCCUUUGAAGACAGCUGCCUGCGACUGACACCUAGCUGCGAACACGCCCACCUGCUUGGAGACUUUGGGCUGCCAGAGACUCUGGUGUCUGAUUUCUGCUGAAGUGUUUACGUUACGCUUACGUCUUGUACCAGGAGAUUUCGGUUUCGGUUUUUACCUGCCCCUAUAAAUGUUCUAAAGAUCCCUAGUAAAUGGAAGCCUUGAUAAGCUA